rnacentral:rRNA from 1 species
CAAUAGCGUAUAUUAAAGUUGUUGCGGUUAAAAAGCUCGUAGUUGGAUUUCUGCUGAGAACGACCGGUCCGCCCUCUGGGUGUGUAUCUGGCUCUUUCUUGGCAUCUUCUUGGUGAACGUUGCUGCACUUGACUGCGUGGAGCGCUACCCAGGACUUUUACUUUGAGGAAAUUAGAGUGUUUCAAGCAGGCAUACGCCUUGAAUACAUUAGCAUGGAAUAAUAAGAUAGGACCUCGGUUCUAUUUUGUUGGUUUCUAGAGCUGAGGUAAUGAUUAAUAGGGAUAGUUGGGGGCAUUCGUAUUUAACUGUCAGAGGUGAAAUUCUUGGAUUUGUUAAAGACGGACUACUGCGAANGNAUUUGCNAAGGAUGUUUNCAUUG